rnacentral:lncRNA from 1 species
UUUUUACUGUGAAAGUUUACAAUGUCGACAUCGAAAUUUGCUAUAUUUUGUAUUGUUCUCAUUUGUCUUGCUAGUCUUCAUGAAUGUAUGUCAUAUAUAGCAUAUGUUCCAUCCAAUCCUCUAGCAUCAUUACCAUUAAAUUAAUAUUAAUAUACUCCAUCAUCUUUUAAUUUUGUUUUAUUCUUUAAACUUUCUGCAGGUGCCAACCCGGAAAAAAAGCCCAAAGGAACAUGCUCUAAAACACCAAAGAAUGUUUGGUGUUGCAGUUCCACUACACACUGCCGAAGCACCAAAGCGGAUUGUGAGAAGAUGUGUAUCUGGUAGUAUCUGGGGCCGUUGAAUUUUACCAAAAAGAAUUUCAAUAAUUAUAUAUUCCAAUUAUUUUCAUAAAUCUAUCAUUCAAAAUUUAAAGAAUAAAUAGAAAUUCCUAUUCCACAGGAGCAGCUAGUAUUAUGUACUAAAUGUUUUGGAAUUUCUUUGAAAGAUCAAUAUAUAUAGUUGUAACUUUCUU